GCGAUGUCGCCAGAUAUGUCAGGCGAAAUCGGCCGGCUUCGCUUGACAUGUCGCCGACACAUGUCGUGGGACAUUUGUCCCCUAGUGUAUCCUUGGCUUAAGAUAAACAGUUUUGUCAAUAAACCCGCACAAAAUUCAAAAAUAUUUCAAUAGUUGUACUUAACGUUUACGUGCCACGUUUUGGUUCAUCCUUGUAAGACAUGCUUACAUUAGUGUAGCCGAAUUAAACAAUACAUAAAAAAAUAAUGUACUUAUACUUAUGCUCAAGUAUUCCUAUAUAAAUAGACACUAUUUUUGUAUGUAAAUUAAGCAAACAAUGUAUACUGUAAUUUAUAAUAAAUACUUUUAAGUAUUUUACGUUAUUUACGUAGAUUAAUUGAAGUAGCAGUAUUUUUUUUGUGUUUGUAUUUAUUUUUUUGGAAAAGUUUGUUCAGUGUGUUGAAAAAAUUAAGUCGAUAUUAGUUUCGAAGACGUCUCUUUUGAGCUCAGUACUCAUGAGUUAUGAUGCAACAGUGGUUUUGUUAAAAAACACCGAUCGCAAAUUCUUCAAAAACGUUAUUUAAGAAUACUUCUCAUUAUUUUAUACAAAAAUGUAUUUAACUACUAAACCAUUCAUUAAAAUGGAAGGAAGAAAACUGACCACAUUUUAAUGUAAUGUAUUUUCGUUAAUUUGUAUUUCAAGAUUACCUCCACGCCAUUUUUUCUUAUGCUAAAAACGUAUAAUAAUUACAAUAGCGAAAGAAAAUAAACACGAAAUACAGAACCUUCUCCUUCUGGGUAAAGAAGUCGGUUAAAAAUGACAUCAAGUAUUUUUAAAUGUAAUUAGUGACAUAUGAACACUAAGAAAAAGGUUAGUAUUCUAUAAAGCCACAGCAAUUUCAUAGGAUGUUUAAUAGAUUUGCAUGUAAUGUUUUUUUGAGAGUCGUUGCUGCAUGGUUGUAUAUUUCUGGCAAACUACUGAGGUACAUGCAAUUUCCGACGAGGUACAAGGGGUACGUCAGAGGUACAUUCCACCAUGGUAAUCUGAGCACAAUAAACCGUGGUGGUCCGGCUGCAGAGUAUCACGCGUAUUUUUUUAUCAGUUAUGAAAAUUAAGUCAAAUGAGAGACGCCAUGUCUAUCGUGUCUACACUCUAGUCUUGUAUGAAAAUGUACAAAUAAUACGAAGUUUACUUAAAAAAAAAACUACCUACAACCAGUGGCCCAUUUCUCAAAACUGAAAGUUACAAGCGGAAGUCUCUUUCCAACUUGUCAUAUUAGACAUUGACUACCACAUGUAAAUUGUAACUUGUAGCUUAAAACUGAAAGUUACAAGCGGAAUUCUCUUUCGAGCUUGAGCCCCUGGGGCCCAUUUCUCGAAGCUAACUGUAACUUUCAGUUUUGAGAAAUGGGUCCUUGUUCUACAGUCGCAUUAAAAGUAGGUAAUUUAAAUAGUGCUGGGUUAUUUCAAAACUUGCUUUCAUUAAAACAUCGACUAGGUAUAAAGAAACUUUGUUAAGUGAUAACAAAGUUUGCCGCUAUAAGACUAGGUCAGGGCUUGCCGCUUUAAUUAAUAACUAUUAAUAAUUAUUUUACUGUGAUUUUAUAAUUGACUUUUAAUUCUGCUAGAUUUAGUUUUAAGCAAUAUUUGUUACUUACCAUCUACGAUGACCUGUUAAAAAUAAUAUAUAAUUUUCGUAAGAAA
rnacentral:lncRNA from 1 species